AGAGUUUGAUCCUGGCUCAGGAUGAACGCUAGCUACAGGCUUAACACAUGCAAGUCGAGGGGCAGCAUAAGAGUAGCUUGCUACUUUUGAUGGCGACCGGCGGAUGGGUGAGUAACGCGUAUCCAACCUGCCCCGCUCCCGGGGACAGCCCUUAGAAAUGAGGAUUAACCCCCGAUGUUGUGUUGAUGCCGCAUGGUGUUGCCACGAAAUGUGAAGGAGCGGGAUGGGGAUGCGUUCCAUUAGGCUGCAGGCGGGGUAACGGCCCACCUGGCCUUCGAUGGAUAGGGGUUCUGAGAGGAAGGUCCCCCACACUGGAACUGAGACACGGUCCAGACUCCUACGGGAGGCAGCAGUGAGGAAUAUUGGUCAAUGGGCGCAAGCCUGAACCAGCCAAGUAGCGUGCGGGAUGAAGGCCCUACGGGUUGUAAACCGCUUUUGCGCGGGGAUAAAGCGGGGGACGCGUCCCCCCUUGCAGGUACCGCGCGAAUAAGGACCGGCUAAUUCCGUGCCAGCAGCCGCGGUAAUACGGAAGGUCCGGGCGUUAUCCGGAUUUAUUGGGUUUAAAGGGAGCGCAGGCGGGAAGUCAAGUCAGCCGUGAAAUGUCCCGGCUCAACCGGGUCAUGCGGUUGAAACUGUCUUUCUUGGGUGCACAAGAGGCAGGCGGAACUCGUGGUGUAGCGGUGAAAUGCAUAGAUAUCACGAUGAACCCCGAUUGCGAAGGCAGCCUGCCGGGGUGUUACCGACGCUCAUGCUCGAAGGCGCGGGUAUCAAACAGGAUUAGAUACCCUGGUAGUCCGCGCGGUAAACGAUGGAUGCCCGCGGUGUGGCCUUUUGUGGUUGCGCCGCCAAGCGAAAGCGUUAAGCAUCCCACCUGGGGAGUACGCCGGCAACGGUGAAACUCAAAGGAAUUGACGGGGGCCCGCACAAGCGGAGGAACAUGUGGUUUAAUUCGAUGAUACGCGAGGAACCUUACCCGGGCUUGAAAUGCUACUGGCGGGGGAGAGAGACCUCCCCCUCCUUCGGGCAGUAGUGUAGGUGCUGCAUGGUUGUCGUCAGCUCGUGCCGUGAGGUGUCGGCUCAAGUGCCAUAACGAGCGCAACCCCUGUCCCCAGUUGCCGUCGGGUAGAGCCGGGCACUCUGUGGAUACUGCCGCCGCAAGGCGUGAGGAAGGUGGGGAUGACGUCAAAUCAGCACGGCCCUUACGUCCGGGGCCACACACGUGUUACAAUGGGGGGCACAGCGAGCUGGGUCAUGGCGACAUGUCCCGAAUCCUUAAAUCCCCUCCCAGUUCGGACAGGAGUCUGCAACCCGACUCCUCGAAGCUGGAUUCGCUAGUAAUCGCGCAUCAGCCAUGGCGCGGUGAAUACGUUCCCGGGCCUUGUACACACCGCCCGUCAAGCCAUGAAAGCCGGGGGCGCCUGAAGUCCGCAGCCGCAGAGGCGCGGCCUAGGGCGAUACUGGUGAUUGGGGCUAAGUCGUAACAAGGUAGCCGUACCGGAAGGUGCGGCUG
rnacentral:rRNA from 1 species